UACGAAGGGGGCUAGCGUUGCUCGGAAUCACUGGGCGUAAAGGGUGCGUAGGCGGGUCUUUAAGUCAAGGGUGAAAUCCUGGAGCUCAACUCCAGAACUGCCUUUGAUACUGAGGAUCUUGAGUUCGGGAGAGGUGAGUGGAACUGCGAGUGUAGAGGUGAAAUUCGUAGAUAUUCGCAAGAACACCAGUGGCGAAGGCGGCGACCUGGUCCGUGACUGACGCUGAGGCGCGAAAGCGUGGGGAGCAAACAGG
rnacentral:rRNA from 1 species